GAUGAACGCUGGCGGCGUGCCUAAUACAUGCAAGUCGAGCGAACAGACGAGGAGCUUGCUCCUCUGACGUUAGCGGCGGACGGGUGAGUAACACGUGGAUAACCUACCUAUAAGACUGGGAUAACUUCGGGAAACCGGAGCUAAUACCGGAUAAUAUAUUGAACCGCAUGGUUCAAUAGUGAAAGACGGUUUUGCUGUCACUUAUAGAUGGAUCCGCGCCGCAUUAGCUAGUUGGUAAGGUAACGGCUUACCAAGGCAACGAUGCGUAGCCGACCUGAGAGGGAGAUCGGCCACACUGGAACUGAGACACGGUCCAGACUCCUACGGGAGGCAGCAGUAGGGAAUCUUCCGCGAUGGGCGAAAGCCUGACGGAGCAACGCCGCGUGAGUGAUGAAGGUCUUCGGAUCGUAAAACUCUGUUAUUAGGGAAGAACAAAUGUGUAAGUAACUAUGCACGUCUUGACGGUACCUAAUCAGAAAGCCACGGCUAACUACGUG
rnacentral:rRNA from 1 species